rnacentral:rRNA from 1 species
UAGGGAAUCUUCGGCAAUGGACGAAAGUCUGACCGAGCAACGCCGCGUGAGUGAAGAAGGUUUUCGGAUCGUAAAACUCUGUUGUUAGAGAAGAACAAGGACGUUAGUAACUGAACGUCCCCUGACGGUAUCUAACCAGAAAGCCACGGCUAACUACGUGCCAGCAGCCGCGGUAAUACGUAGGUGGCAAGCGCUGUCCGGAUUUAUUGGGCGUAAAGCGAGCGCAGGCGGUUUCUUAAGUCUGAUGUGAAAGCCCCCGGCUCAACCGGGGAGGGUCAUUGGAAACUGGGAGAAUUGAGUGCAGAAGAGGAGAGUGGAAUUCCAUGUGUAGCGGUGAAAUGCGUAGAUAUAUGGAGGAACACCAGUAGCGAAGGCGGCUCUCUGGUCUGUAACUGACGCUGAGGCUCGAAAGCGUGGGGAGCAAACAGG